UACGUAGGGUGCAAGCGUUGUCCGGAAUUAUUGGGCGUAAAGAGCUCGUAGGCGGUUUGUCGCGUCUUCCGUGAAAACUGGGGGCUUAACUUCCAGCUUGCGGUGGAUACGGGCUGACUGGAGUGCGGCAGGGGAGACUGGAAUUCCUGGUGUAGCGGUGAAAUGCGCAGAUAUCAGGAGGAACACCGGUGGCGAAGGCGGGUCUCUGGGCCGUUACUGACGCUGAGGAGCGAAAGCGUGGGGAGCGAACAGG
rnacentral:rRNA from 1 species